AACUCAUGUUGAGGACAUUUCCAUAGGAGCUCGUUGAACAAAUCCCACGUCUCAAAAAAAGAGACUCGAUUCUUUUUGCACAAAAGUUGAUAUUUUAUUCCUAAGCUU